GACGAACGCUGGCGGCGUGCUUAACACAUGCCAGUCGAACGGAAAGGCCCUGCUUUUGUGGGGUGCUCGAGUGGCGAACGGGUGAGUAACACGUGAGUAACCUGCCCUUGACUUUGGGAUAACUUCAGGAAACUGGGGCUAAUACCGGAUAGGAGCUCCUGCUGCAUGGUGGGGGUUGGAAAGUUUCGGCGGUUGGGGAGGGACUCGCGGCUUAUCAGCUUGUUGGUGGGGUAGUGGCUUACCAAGGCUUUGACGGGUAGCCGGCCUGAGAGGGUGACCGGCCACAUUGGGACUGAGAUACGGCCCAGACUCCUACGGGAGGCAGCAGUGGGGAAUAUUGCACAAUGGGCGGAAGCCUGAUGCAGCAACGCCGCGUGCGGGAUGACGGCCUUCGGGUUGUAAACCGCUUUCGCCUGUGACGAAGCGUGAGUGACGGUAAUGGGUAAAGAAGCACCGGCUAACUACGUG
rnacentral:rRNA from 1 species